rnacentral:rRNA from 1 species
AUGUCUGAAACUCUGAAACACCGUGGGACUAUAAAGCAUAGGUUCUCGACCCUCAGAUGGAACAAAGCCAUUUCAAAUUUAACUGAUAAGCAAAAAGGAUAUGUUUCGAAACAUGAUCUGGAUAAUCUGUUGCUCAUCAAUAGGCAUCUCAUUGUCCCCAUCGGAUUCAUGCAAUGGCUUGCCGACCAUACUCGCUCAAAUGAUGUCUUCAAGCACAAGAACAAAGUUAUUCAUAUCCGAAGGGAAAUGGCCAUUCAGGUUUUUGGAAUUCAAUCUGGUUCUGAACCUUUUCCUACCGAGAGCAAUGAUCCUGCUGUAGUAGCAAAAGUUAAGGCACUCAGUGAUAAAUAUAAAUUUGGAAGUAGGAACAUUCCAAUAGAAAACAUUGUCAACAUGAUGAAGAAUGAUGAAGCUGAGGAAGGUUUUAUUUGCAGUUUGUUGUUUCUGUUCGUCUCAACAGUUCUCUGUCCAAUCACUGGCAACUACGUGAACUGGAAGCUUCUGUACGGUCUGCAUGACAUUUCACAGUUGCAUAAAGUCUCAGUUGAUUUGAAAGAUCCUAUCUGGGUUGGCGGCUGCCUGCCCAUGCUUGCUAAUGAUAAUUUACUUCACGCAGCUAAUGUUGAUUUCAAAAGGACAACUAACAAACCAGUAGCCUAUGGAGCACUGCCUCUUCGAGACAUUUCCACCACACCAUAUGGAGCUCGUCCACUAGCAUUGGUUGAGGAUACAGGUUUCAACGCCCCACAAGGAACAUUGCCCACAGGACCACCGCAAGAUGAUGUGUUAAAAUCAUCCAACCAACCUGAAGUAGUGCAAGUAAUAUCAAAGGUGGUUGCCAAACAUGAUGAGCUAUGGAGAAAAACUCAUGAGGAACACAUGUCUCGAAUGCGUGCAGAGUUGGCAAGCAAUGUGUCUUCUAUCAUUCCAAGCACCAAUCCUAUGAUGGCAAAUACUCCCGCCCCUCCUGUUAUUAUCAGCUAA